GUGACAGCCGCCGCGGUAAUACGGAGGGUGCAAGCGUUAUCCGGAUUCACUGGCCUUUAAAGGGUGNGUAGGAGGGCAGGUAAGUCAGUGGUGAAAUCUCCAAGCUUAACUNGGAAACUNCCGUUGAUACUAUCUGUCUNGAAUAUUGUGGAGGUGAGCGGAAUAUGUCAUGUAGCGGUGAAAUGCUUAGAUAUGACAUAGAACACCAAUNGNGAAGGCAGNUCACUACACAAUCAUCGACUCUGAGGCACGAAAGCGUGGGGAUCAANC
rnacentral:rRNA from 1 species